GACGAACGCUGGCGGCGUGCUUAACACAUGCAAGUCGAACGGAAAGGCCCUGCUUUUGUGGGGUGCUCGAGUGGCGAACGGGUGAGUAACACGUGAGUAACCUGCCCUUGACUUUGGGAUAACUUCAGGAAACUGGGGCUAAUACCGGAUAGGAGCUCCUGCUGCAUGGUGGGGGUUGGAAAGUUUCGGCGGUUGGGGAUGGACUCGCGGCUUAUCAGCUUGUUGGUGGGGUAGUGGCUUACCAAGGCUUUGACGGGUAGCCGGCCUGAGAGGGUGACCGGCAAAAUUGGGACUGAGAUACGGCCCAGACUCCUACGGGAGGCAGCAGUGGGGAAUAUUGCACAAUGGGCGGAAGCCUGAUGAAGAAACGCCGCGUGCGGGAUGACGGCCUUCGGGUUGUAAACAGAUUUCGACUGUGACGAAGAGUGAGUGACGGUAAUGGGUAAAGAAGCACCGGCUAACUACGUG
rnacentral:rRNA from 1 species